AGUGGGCUCCUGUUUACCAAAUGUUGAAGUUAAAUGAAUAUUUUCUGUAUUUCAUGUUUGUUAUAAUGAGAGAUAAAAAAUCGUGUAAAAAUCUUCAGUAUGUGCUUUUAGUAAUGUUGUUGAUUUUAGAACCCUGCUUAUGGAUAUUUAAAACAUGUUUACAGUUUCCAAGAACAACAGAAUGGUAAUCAAAAAAUGUACCGGAAUCAUAAAGGCAUCACACAUGGAUACAUUCAGUCGUCGGGUCGGAAUGACUCCUUGGCUGAUCAAAUCCAUCCUACUGCAGGAACAACCAUGCAAUAGUUAGACCUCCGGUUUUCUGACUGUGUCUCAGUCGCAACGAUUAAAACUGAACAUGGCAACGAUCAAAACCGCACAAAGAUGCAUACAGAUGUUGAUGGACGUAUUUUCAGAUUGGAGCAUGUCGGGU
rnacentral:lncRNA from 1 species